AGGACGAACGCUGGCGGCGUGCCUAAUACAUGCAAGUCGAACGAGGUUCAUCCGGUGGCAACACCGGAGAAGACCGAGUGGCGAACGGGUGAGUAGCACGUGAGCAACCUACCCCGAAGACUGGGAUAACACCGGGAAACCGGUGCUAAUACCGGAUACCCCCAUCGGAUCGCAUGGUCUGAUGAGGAAAUGGAUUCCGCUUCGGGAGGGGCUCGCGGCCUAUCAGUUAGUUGGUGAGGUAAUGGCUCACCAAGGCUUCGACGGGUAGCUGGUCUGAGAGGACGAUCAGCCACACUGGGACUGAGACACGGCCCAGACUCCUACGGGAGGCAGCAGUAGGGAAUCUUGCGCAAUGGGCGAAAGCCUGACGCAGCAACGCCGCGUGGGGGACGAAGGCUUUCUGAGUUGUAAACCCCUUUCAGCAGGGACGAGUUGUGACGGUACCUGCAGAAGAAGCACCGGCAACUACGCGCAGCAGCCGC
rnacentral:rRNA from 1 species